CUUUGUUGCGGUGAUCACAAACAAGCUCCCUCUUCUGAAAGCACUGUGGACAUCGCUGGCAGAAUCGAACCUAAUAACUUUAUGCCACCACUGAGUAA